UAGUCCUUUAAUCGAGCUUCAUCCCUCUCAAAGAUCCCUGAAGCGAAUGUUACUCAUUUGUCUUUGCUGUAUUAGUUUGGAUGUCGUUAAGCGACUAAAGAUGGGUCAAAUUAUUCAUAUGCUUGAGGUAGAUGAUGUUGCAUUUCGUUAUGAAAUUCUUACACUUAAAGAGAAAGACAAUGUGUCUUCUUCUGCAGAUGUUUUGAGCAAAAGAGUGCCAUAUGAAUCAAAAUAUCCAAAGUCCAUAAGAAAAUCAAUAUGAAAAUAAUUGCUUGUAUUUUACUUUUGGACAUGCAAACUAAGGAGAUCAAAUUGUUUGUUCUUACGAUUUUUUGUAUGUCAUGAACGAAUUAAAUUAGUCAAUCAUUGUGCAUAUAUGCAAUACAUUGUAGUCACUUGUUCAGGUCAUGCACCUUUUUUGAUGUAUUUGUUUAUCUUGGGAACAUGGAAGAGAUGAGCCUUAUAAAUGUAUCUCAAGAUA